rnacentral:ncRNA from 1 species
GUUUUUCGUUUUCCUAUAAAAGUUUUAUUCUAGCUAGGAAAUUCCCUGUUGGAUUGGUUCACAUGUAAGGAGUAAUCGUGUUGUGGAGGGUUUGCCUAAAAGGUGCUCGAUGAUUGGAGUGAUAUUCGCAGUGUUUUGUAUUGGUUGUCAAGAAACUUUGGAUCCGGUAAUUUGAAUAGCUCCGGCAAAACUCGUGCCAGCCGCCGCGGUUACACGAAGGGGGUAAGGGUAUUUUAUUGGUUUGUAAUUGGCUUUGUGGAUUGGCUAGAGAGAAAGGUUUGUUGGGUGAAAUUUUAAACCUCAAGUUAGUCAGAGAAAGGGUAAGCGAAGUUAUGAAAUCUGGGGAGAAAACUAGGAUUAGAUACCCUACUAUUCCAGAUGUUAAGUAGAAACCAGAGUAGUAAUAGUUAUGUUCUUGAAACUCAAAGAAUUUGGCGGUGUUUUAGUCCGCUCAGAGGAACCUGUCCCAUGAUCGAUAAUCCACGUUAGACUUAACUUGGGGUUAUUUAGCUUGUAUACCGCCGUCGAAAGAGGAAUUCAGAAGAAUCCCCUCUAAUCCCUGCAGUAAGGUAGAUGUCAGGUCAAGGUGCAGCUUAUCCUUAAGGGGAGAUGGGUUACAAUAAGGGUACUUAAACGGAAGUUCGCGGGGAGAAGUGAACUAGAAGGUGGAUUUGAAUGUAAUUGGGGUUUAAUUAAACCCCAUGAAAGAGGCUCUAAAACAAGCACACAUCGCCCGUCGCUCUCGUUUAUUUAAGGCGAGAUAAGUCGUAACAAAGUAGGUGUACCGGAAGGUGCUUCUAGAAUGAAA